rnacentral:rRNA from 1 species
AGGGUUUGAUUCUGGCUCAGGACGAACGCUGGCGGCGUGCCUAACACAUGCAAGUCGAACGAAGCUCGAAGCUCUGAGAUUUCGGUCAAGGAGCCUAGAUGACUUAGUGGCGAACGGGUGAGUAAUGCGUGAGCAACCUGCCUUUCAGAGGGGGACAACAGCUGGAAACGGCUGCUAAUACCGCAUAACACAUUUGGGUGGCAUCACCUGGAUGUCAAAGGAGCAAUCCGCUGAGAGAUGGGCUCACGUCUGAUUAGCUAGUUGGUGAGGUAACGGCUCACCAAGGCGACGAUCAGUAGCCGGUCUGAGAGGAUGAACGGCCACAUUGGGACUGAGAUACGGCCCAG